GAAACGCAGCGGGGAGAGGGGGUGGAAGGCAUCGAAGCAGGCAGCCUUGCAGCCCGGCUGCUGGGUGUGACACACGAAUUCACUCUGCUCAUCACCAUAGACUCCAGGCCCACUGGCAGCCAGCAGCACAAGGCGGAAUCCCAGGAGCACGGGAAGCAAGAGGCGCCCCACGGGGGUGGAGCGCCGGCUCUCCUCCGCCAGCAGCCGCCGCAGGAACCUGCCACACAUCCUGUUUUGGAGCAGAGGACAAGAGAUCAGUGUUGUUCACUGUCCUUCAGAGGGAGCUCCAGUCCACCUUGUCACUCCUAAUCCAAGGAUCACUGAAGGCAAGACCAGCCUCCUCCCACAGCCAUACGUUGACAACACGUGCCAAGGCCUGGGGCAACAGGGUACCCAGGGUGAAGGGCUCACCCAAGAGUAGGGAGCGAAGAGAAAUGUGGAAGCUCAGCACCUCUGUGCCCCAAGAACGAUGAUGAAGUGGCGUCAUUUGUCUGGAGUAAUACCCAAGAUUCAUUGCCUCACGCCAAGGAAAUCAAGAAGGCUGUGAGAACUACACGGAACCCUAAGGAGCUACUAAUCCAGCUGACACACGUGGAAACUGACUCAGACUAAGUGAUACAUACAGGCCAUAUGGACUACCAGACACAGGGCAAGACUAGAUGCUGGUUCCUCAGACCAGG
rnacentral:lncRNA from 10 species